GGAUGACAUGCACUCCUGUUACUGUACUGUAUAUAAGGAAAGCUCAACAUUCAUAGCAACUCAAAAACCUCCUCGACUCUCUGUGAGAUAAACUGCUGAAGGUGCAAAGAUUUGAAGUGUGAUCACUGUAACCAUGCUGAAGCUAGCUCUUGUGCUUGGAUGCCUCCUGAGCCUGGCUCUGGCUCGUCCUAAUGACAUGGAGCAUAAACGACUUGCUCGUUCAAGCUCAUCUGAGUCAAAUUCAGGAGAGAGCACCACCAGCGCAAUCACAACCCCCAAUAUUGCCUCACUCAUACAACUACUGCUGCGGCUACUUAGUGGGAACUGAAAUGUCACCUAUAUAUAAGUGAAUGAUACCCAGUAAUUAUUAGAUGUUUGAUCAGCUCUGUUUUUUUCAGUGUGUGAUGUUGUACUCAGAAUCAUCUCCUACAGUAAAUGAUACAGUCCUAAUCAUUCCAGGUCAAUCAAACAUGUGGGUCAUUUCACUUAUUUUCUGGAGUAACUACUCAAUAAACUUCAUGAAUUGAAAACAUG